rnacentral:lncRNA from 10 species
AUGCAGAGAUUUAUACACCCAGAUAAAGCCUCUGAGUUGCUGCUGAUGCUGUGUGGCUUACUUUGUUGAAACAUGAAGUGAUUCCCAAAGUCUCCAAAUGGCUACCUGUGGAAGUCUUCCAGUAGACAGCUAGCUUCUAUUGCCCACACAGAAAUAUUCACUACUGAGCUUUCUACUGGUUCUCAAAUCUGCAUUGGAAAUUGUCUGCUCAUAGAGAAGUGGGUUUAUCUUGAAGUUAUUGAAGCUUAAGUUUUUAGGCUCACCACCUGUCUGGGCUGCUUCUAAGACCCCAGCAAUACGAUUAGAGUGUUGUGAAUUCAAAGAAUUCUUUACUUUAGUCCUUGCCAAGAAAACUUGAAUUUUCCUGAAAUCUUACAGCUGAUUUAUGAUAAAAGCUCAAUAUUUUCCAAAUUUGAUAACGGUCCUAAAAUGUGGAAAAAGCAUUACAGAUUAUGUUUUGAAAUUAAUUAGUAAAAUAUUAUGUUAUUUUUCUGGAUGUUUGUGGUAUCUGUCAGUUUUUCAAGACUUGUAAUUUGUU